GUGGGCCUCUCACUGCUGUGGCCUCUCCCGUUGCGGAGCACAGGCUCCGGACGUGCAGGCUCAGCGGCCAUGGCUCACGGGCCCAGCCGCUCCGUGGCAUGUGGGAUCUUCCCGGACCGGGGCACGAACCCGUGUCCCCCGCAUUGGCAGGCGGACUCUCAACCACUGUGCCACCAGGGAAGCCCGGCAGGCGGAUUCUUAACCACUGCACCACCAGGGAAAUUCCACUAACAAAAGUUCUUAUUGGUGAUCUUUAAUGGUAUAUUUUGUGGGUAGAGGAGACUAAGAGAGAGAAGCAGCAUCAUAGAAUUUUAGAGAUGGACAGAUUAUUAGACACUCCCUAUGUCAAGCGCUUAUUCAUUGGGCUAGUCAAGCCUACAAGAGACUGGGUCAGUGUAGUCCUGAGGGCCAGGCCAGACCUAAAGUAGCAACCCAAGAUAUCAGAUUAAGACUAGAAGCAAGAGGAGACGUUGUGGUGGAUGCUUCCAGCUUUCCAUUCUACCUCAUGGUUUUUGUUUGUCAGCCAGACUGCUCUGUAUCUCUGUGUAGAAUUCAAAGCCUGUGUUGCUAAAAUAUUAUGAUGUACUCUAGGUUAAUAUGCAUAAAAUCAAACUUGCAUAAAUCAAAUUUUGUGCAACUCAGGGAGCAUCUAUAAUAUAAAAGCUGAAGAGCCUCCAUGGGUUUCUAGUUAGUUUUCAAAUCCAAAGAUAUUAUUAGGCUACUCCUAAUAUCAUAAUUAUUGUGCCCAUGUGAUUGCCCUUUAUUAACAGCUGUGUUUUCCUUAGAAGUCUAGGCCUGCAAGACUUAACCUAAUUUUGGGAAUUCCCUGGUGGUCCAGUGGUCAGGACUUGGUGCUUUCACUGCUGUGGCCCAGAUCCCUGGUCGGGGAAAGAAGAUCCUGCAAUCCGCACAGCACAGCCAAAAAAAAGACUUAACAUAAUUUAGCAGCAUCAUGGAGUAGGCCAUUCUCAUUUUACUCUAAUUUUUCAUGCUUCAGGGCCCUGGCAAGAAGCAAAGUUCUGGGAAGGGGCCAUGCCACACUGAAACCAGACCUGCAAGGGAGAGGAUCUGUACAUCAGAUGGGGAAAUGAAGACUCAGAGUGACUAAGUAACUUGGCCAAAGUUAUAUAGACAGUAGACACGGACCAGAUCAUGAAGGGACAUCAUAUGUAUCCUGUGGGGUAGACAUCUGGGAUAUCUGCUUAUCCAUGUCCCCUUCUCUGAAAAUUGUCUCUGACCUGCCUACAUUUUUUGUCUGGUUACAUUGUAUGGUUGAUUCCUGAUCCAAGCUGGGCAAAUCACACUGGUUCAGGAACAUUGGACUCUAAAGAUCAUGUGACUUGCAAGGCUGAAGACCCUAUUUGGGGGCAGCCAGUCCUGAUUCUACUGUGUGCCAAGUAUUGUUCUAAAUACUAGGAAGACAGCAGCGAACUAAAUAGACAGGAUUUGCAUACUGGAAAUAUUGUAGUGGACAAAGACAAGAAUCUUGCCAAAUGGAGCUUGCAUUCUAGAGUCUUCUGCAGAGUAACAGGGGAAGAAGCUGGUCUGCAUAGAACAGAGGAGGUCAUGCAGCUUAUAGCAGAUUAGAUCAUUGUUCUCAGUUCUUCACCUCUGUGUAUCCAUUCUCUUGCCAUGGCUUCUUGGUGAAUGGAGUAUACUUCUCUGUCCCUUGAUUUUGAGCUUGGCAAAGUCAUUUUGCUUUGGAUAAUGGAAUGUUAAUGAAGUUGAUGUAAGCAGUGUCUCAGUAUGCCAGUCUUUUUAGAGGCUGAAUAGUAUUCCACUGUAUGUAUAUGCCACAU